AUACGUAGGGGGCGAGCGUUAUCCGGAUUCAUUGGGCGUAAAGCGCGCGUAGGCGGCCUGCUAGGUCGGGACUCAAAUCCGGGGGCUCAACCCCCGCCCGGUCCCGAUACCGACAGGCUUGAGUCUGGUAGGGGAAGGCGGAAUUCCAAGUGUAGCGGUGGAAUGCGCAGAUAUUUGGAAGAACACCGGUGGCGAAGGCGGCCUGCUGGGCCAAGACUGACGAGGAGGCGCGAAAUGUAGGGGAGCCAACAGGAGUAGAUACCCUGGUAGUCCUAGCCGUAAACGAGGGACACUAGGUGUGGGGGGAUGUGCCCUCCGUGCCGCAGCCAACGCAUUAAGUGUCCCGCCUGGGGAGUACGGCCGCAAGGCUGAAACUCAAAUGAAUUGGCGGGG
rnacentral:rRNA from 1 species